rnacentral:rRNA from 1 species
UACGGGGGGGGCAAGCGUUGUCCGGAUUUAUUGGGUUUAAAGGGUGCGUAGGCGGUUUUUAAGUCAGUGCUGAAAUACUCCAGCUUAACUGGAGGGGUGGCAUUGAUACUGGAAGACUUGAGUACAGAUGAGGUAGGCGGAAUUGACGGUGUAGCGGUGAAAUGCAUAGAUAUCGUCAAGAACACCGAUAGCGAAGGCAGCUUACUGGGCUGUAACUGACGCUGAUGCACGAAAAGUGUGGGGGAUCAAACAGG